AUUGGACGCUGGCGGCAUGCUUUACACAUGCAAGUCGAACGGCAGCGCGGGCUUCGGCCUGGCGGCGAGUGGCGAACGGGUGAGUAAUACAUCGGAACGUGCCCAGUAGUGGGGGAUAGCUCGGCGAAAGCCGGAUUAAUACCGCAUACGACCUGAGGGUGAAAGCGGGGGAUCUUCGGACCUCGCGCUAUUGGAGCGGCCGAUGGCAGAUUAGCUAGUUGGUGGGGUAAAGGCCUACCAAGGCGACGAUCUGUAGCUGGUCUGAGAGGACGACCAGCCACACUGGGACUGAGACACGGACCAGACUCCUACGGGAGGCAGCAGUGGGGAAGUUUGGACAAUGGGCGAAAGCCUGAUCCAGCAAUGCCGCGUGUGUGAUGAAGGCCUUCGGGUUGUAAAGCACUUUUGGCGGGAACGAAAAGGACUGUGCCAAUACCACGGUUCGAUGACGGUACCCGCAGAAUAAGCACCGGCUAACUACGUG
rnacentral:rRNA from 1 species